rnacentral:rRNA from 1 species
AGAAUCAACGCUGGCGGCGUGCCUAACACAUGCAAGUCGAACGAGAAAGGGGAGCAAUCCCCGAGUAUAGUGGCGCACGGGUGAGUAACACGUGAAUAAUCUACCUCCGAGUGGGGAAUAACUGAGAGAAAUCUUAGCUAAUACCGCAUAACACUUACGAGUCAAAGCAGCAAUGCGCUUGGAGAGGAGUUCGCGGCCGAUUAGUUAGUUGGCGGGGUAAUGGCCCACAAGACGAUGAUCGGUA